GAGCCCGUAGCUCAGCUGGAUAGAGCAACAGCCUUCUAAGCUGUGGGUCGAACGUUCGAAUCGUUUCGGGCUCGCCA
rnacentral:tRNA from 1 species